UAUUUAAAUCUAAACUUUACAUCAGGGCC
rnacentral:piRNA from 1 species